GAUGAAGAACGUAGCGAAAUGCGAUAAGUAGUGUGAAUUGCAGAAUUCAGUGAAUCAUCGAAUCUUUGAACGCACAUUGCGGCCAUAGGUAUUCCUUUGGCCAUGCCUGUUCGAGCGUCAUUUACACCCUCAAGCCUAGCUUGGUGUUGGGCGUCUGUCCCGCCGUUCUCGCGCGCGGACUCGCCUCAAAGUCAUUGGCGGCGGUCGUGCCGGCCCCCUCGCGCAGCACAUUUGCGCUUCUCGGAGGCCCGGCGGAUCCGCGCUCCAGCAAGACCUUUCACGACUUGACCUCGGAUCAGGUAGGGAUACCCGCUGAACUUAAGCAUAUCAAUAAGCGAGGA
rnacentral:misc_RNA from 1 species